rnacentral:rRNA from 1 species
AGCGGGGACUUCGGUCCGCCGGCGAGUGGCGAACGGGUGAGUAAAGUAUCGGAACGUACCAGUGGCGAACGGGUGAGUAAAGUAUCGGAACGUACCUUUCAGUGGGGGAUAACGUAGCGAAAGUUACGCUAAUACCGCAUAUUCUGUGAGCAGGAAAGCAGGGGAUCGCAAGACCUUGCGCUGAUUGAGCGGCCGAUAUCAGAUUAGCUAGUUGGUGGGGUAAAGGCCUACCAAGGCGACGAUCUGUAGCGGGUCUGAGAGGAUGAUCCGCCACACUGGGACUGAGACACGGCCCAGACUCCUACGGGAGGCAGCAGUGGGGAAUUUUGGACAAUGGGCGCAAGCCUGAUCCAGCCAUGCCGCGUGAGUGAAGAAGGCCUUCGGGUUGUAAAGCUCUUUCGGCCGGGAAGAAAUCGCAUGGGCUAAUACCCUGUGUGGAUGACGGUACCGGAAUAAGAAGCACCGGCUAACUACGUGCCAGCAGCCGCGGUAAUACGUAGGGUGCGAGCGUUAAUCGGAAUUACUGGGCGUAAAGCGUGCGCAGGCGGUUUUUUAAGAUAGGCGUGAAAUCCCCGGGCUCAACCUGGGAACUGCGCUUAUGACUGGAAGACUAGAGUAUGGCAGAGGGGGGUGGAAUUCCACGUGUAGCAGUGAAAUGCGUAGAGAUGUGGAGGAACACCGAUGGCGAAGGCAGCCCCCUGGGCCAAUACUGACGCUCAUGCACGAA